GACGAACGCUGGCGGCGUGCUUAACACAUGCAAGUCGAACGGAAAGGCCCUGCUUUUGUGGGGUGCUCGAGUGGCGAACGGGUGAGUAACACGUGAGUAACCUGCCCUUGACUUUGGGAUAACUUCAGGAAACUGGGGCUAAUACCGGAUAGGAUCUCCUGCUGCAUGGUGGGGGUUGGUCAGUUUCGGCGGUUGGGGAUGGACUCGCGGCUUAUCAGCUUGUUGGUGGGGUAGUGGCUUACCAAGGCUUUGACGGGUAGCCGGCCUGAGAGGGUGACCGGCCACAUUGGGACUGAGAUACGGCCCAGACUACAACGGGAGGCAGCAGUGGGGAAUAUUGCACAAUGGGCGGAAGCGUGAUGCAGCAACGCCGCGUGCGGGAUGACGGCCUUCGGGUUGUAAACCGAUUUCGAAUGAGAAGAAGCGUGAGUGACGGUAAUGGGUAAAGAAGCACCGGCUAACUACGUG
rnacentral:rRNA from 1 species